rnacentral:rRNA from 1 species
UACGUAGGGGGCAAGCGUUGUCCGGAAUCAUUGGGCGUAAAGCGCGUGUAGGCGGCCCGAUAAGUCCGCUGUGAAAGUCCAGGGCUCAACCCUGGAAAGCCGGUGGAUACUGUCGGGCUAGAGUCCGGAAGAGGCGAGUGGAAUUCCUGGUGUAGCGGUGAAAUGCGCAGAUAUCAGGAGGAACACCAAUUGCGAAGGCAGCUCGCUGGGACGGUACUGACGCUGAGGCGCGAAAGCGUGGGGAGCGAACAGG